GUGUACUGUUUUUCAGAAAACAGGAUGAGAGGAACUCGUCGAUCAGCAAGAUUGACUGGAGUACCACCUGAGGAUGAGGGCAUGAGCGCCCGUCCUCCAGCAUUGCCUAGGGCAAUGUCUAGCAGGUCCAACAGGGACAGAGUAGCAAGAGACCCUAGAAGGUCUUUGGAUCUGGGUAGAAGCAGAUCAGUCAGAGGAACAGUUCAGGGAGGAGCGUCAGAGGAUAUGGGGGAUGAUAUGGACGUAGAACAGAGGAGGGAUGGCAGUUUGGGAGUCAGUAUGUCAGAAGAAGGAAUGGGAGAGUCCCAAGGAGGCACUCAGGCCUCGGGAUUUGUACAGCCACCUCACUACUCACAU
rnacentral:lncRNA from 1 species